rnacentral:rRNA from 1 species
GGCGUGUACUGCUUGGCUGGGCCUUACUUCUUGGUGAGCCGGCGUGCCCUUUAUUGGUGUGCGUCGGGGAACCAGGACUUUUACCUUGAGAAAAUUAGAGUGUUCAAAGCAGGCCUAUGCCUGAAUACAUUAGCAUGGAAUAAUAGAAUAGGACGUGCGGUUCUAUUUUGUUGGUUUCUAGAGUCACUGUAAUGAUUAAUAGGGACAGUUGGGGGCAUUGGUAUUGAGUCGCUAGAGGUGAAAUUCUUGGAUUGACUCAAGACCGACUAUUGCGAAAGCAUUUGCCAAGGAUGUUUUCAUUAAUCAAGAACGAAGGUUAGGGGAUCGAAAACGAUCAGAUACCGUUGUAGUCUUAACAGUAAACUAUGCCGACUAGGGAUUGGAUGACCUCAAAAUUGAUGUGUCAUUUGGCACCUUACGAGAAAUCAAAGUCUUUGGGUUCUGGGGGGAGUAUGGUUGCAAGGCUGAAACUUAAAGGAAUUGACAGAAGGGCACCACCAGGUGUGGAGCCUGCGGCUUAAUUUGACUCAACACGGGGAAACUCACCAGGUCCAGACAUAACUAGGAUUGACAGAUUGAUAGCUCUUUCAUGAUUUUAUGGGUGGUGGUGCAUGGCCAUUCUUAGUUGGUAGAGUGAUUUGUCUGGUUAAUUCCGAUAACGAACGAGACCUUAACCUGCUAAAUAGCCAGGCCGGCUUCAGCUGGUCUCUGGCUUCUUAGAGGGACUGUCAG